GAUCUCCUUGACCUUGUACUCCUCGAACUUGACGGGGUCUUUGGAGUAGCCCAGCGGGUCGAAGGCUCCGCCGGGGUACUUCUUCUUCUCGGGGUCCUUCUCCAUGCUGCGCUGGUGCUCCACGAAGGCAAUGGCGAAGAACUCGAUGACGAGGAUGGUGGGGAGAGUGCCCCAGGGGACUGGGUUGCCUAGGUACGUCGCCUGCCCGCCGGGGAUCGCCGCCCACUCCUGCGCCUUCACCCAGUUGCCCAGGCCCAGUGCUUCCGGCACCAAG
rnacentral:lncRNA from 1 species